GCUGGUGUCUGCGCUCUGUGGCAAACAACCGCGCCAAACAGUCGCUGUCGACGGGCGGCAGGCCUCUGCUUUUGUAGUAAGGCGCGCGCGCUAGAUCCCAUAGGCCAGGGGCGACGUAGACCGCGCACAGGCUCACGCAUACGGCGUAGGGUUUGCGCCGCCGGGGCAUUUCGCGUAUGCGGGACCCGCACAGUCUGUCUACACUGUCCAGGGCCUCGCGAAUAGCCAACGCAUCACAGUCGCGCUCCAGGGCGUCCAAGUCUGUCUUGUCGGCCGCUGCGGUGAUGCAAUGCGUCCGUGGCAGCACGAUGCCUGUGCGCACGUUGGUCGAAGCAUCGGCAUAGGCCAUCCAUCGGCGAUGACCCACGAGUCCGGCGAUCUCCAUGGCGCAAUGGGCCGCGUCGUCGCUGUCCGGACCCAAAGACGCACGCAGCCAUCGCAUAACGUGCGACGCCAGUUCCGGUCCCCUCCAAAAGUCGGCCAUGCGGUCGACGCCCCGGCUCAUGUAACCACCUCGAGAAAACAUGGGAUGCGAUGGAUCGGUCGCAGUCGCCAAGCGCGCCUCCAACUCGGCGCGCGCCGUAUCGACCGUCUCCGCUGGCCCGGUCCAGAGCGUGUGUCCGUUGAGCGCAAUUGUGGCCGUUGCAUCAUCACCACUGACGCGGCACUGAAGAUUCGACGUAAUCCACAAUGUCUUGUGCUCUGCGUAGGCGCGCGCCACAAGAUCGAUGGCGGACGCGGCCUCAGGGGUCCCGUGUUGGCGGCGCGGUGUGUUGACUGCUGUCGUCGAUAAUGUUGUUGCCGCUGGCGCUGUUGUCGUCAUGACCGAACAAGCCGUGCCAAAUGUAUUUUUUUUUCUAUC
rnacentral:lncRNA from 1 species